GUAUGAUUGAGCAAGAGUGGUAAUACAUUUGUGGAGUAUUCCACAGCAGGAGGCAACAUUAUGACACAAGGUACAGUAAAAUGGUUUAAUGCAGACAAAGGUUUCGGUUUCAUUGAAAUCGAAGGCGGAGACGAUGUAUUCGUUCAUUUCAGUGCUAUUCAAGGUGAAGGUUUCAAAUCAUUAGAAGAAGGUCAAAAAGUUACUUUUGAUAUCGAGCAAGGUCAACGUGGAGCACAAGCUGCUAACGUUCACAAAGCAUAAUUAUAAGACCAUAAAAAAAGACUCCUAUGAAGGAGUCUUUUUUUA
rnacentral:sRNA from 1 species